UUGAUUGUUACACUGUCGUUAGAGCUUAUGUAUGGAAGAAAGGAACAAGUGUCAUAUAAUGUACUUUCAAAAUUUGAGUCUUUGUUGUCAGUAUUUUGAAUGAAGAAAAUCGCCAGCUUUAAGAAAAUAAUAAGAAGAUGAGUUGGUGCCUGUCAAUAGUGUCGAUUAGUUUGCUCUUAGGACAUUAUUGUAAUGGAUAUAGUGUACACCGUGAUGGUUUAAUUAUUUCGUCAGUUGAUGACGUAGUUCCUAAGUUACAGCAAUCAAAUAAACCCAAAUCGAGUUUGAGAACCGGUACAGUUGAAAUGCCAGAUGAAAUCUCCAACUUAUAUUACAGUGAAGUUGAUAGAAAAGGGAGCCUUGUGUAUUCGAAAUGGCUGUACAAUUUGAAAGAUGUUGUUGUGAUGCUCAAAGAAAGAUUCGGUGUCGACAUUGUGACUUAAAUUGGCAAGUCUUUAGGGCCUGUGAUGAAAUGAUACUAUUAUAAACGCUUUAAAAUAA